GGACAAGACCUUGUUAAUGUUUUGAGCAAGGGGCAAAACUACAGGGAGUUAAAAUCAUUAAGAACUACAAACAUACUCCCCACAAAAAAAAAAAAAAAAAGAAGAGGGAGAAGGCUCAGAAGAAACUCACUGUGCUGCAGCUUCAGAAAAAGCUUACAACUACCAUGAGACUGAAAUUCUUAUGAGACCGUGUCAUUAACUCAUGGACUUCUCUGUGUUUCUGCUUUGCUGAAUGUCUCUGUAAAGCAGUAUGUAACCUAUAACAUCUGAGAACAAAUCAAACUGACAACCCAAGCAGCAGUGAAACUAGAUCAGCCUGUUUGUUAUUCCAUGGCUAGUCAUGAGAGAAACGUGGGGCUUGUUUCACAAAUUGAAACAUCCCAAAUUAUCAGCAGGCCUGUGACCACUCUGCAUUUUUGUUUUUUAUUGGCAGUUAACUGAAGCCAAACAGGACCAGACCAAGCCUGUUACUUCAUCUCUGCUUGACUGGAAAUGUUGCUGUGUCUGAUUGUGCUCCUGGAAAUAUCAGACAUGGCUUUGUAUUGGAGGAUGCUGGAUCCAGAGGCAAUGAUUUCUUUACAGGCUCUGAGAUAUAAGAGCACAGUGUUUGUGGGGAGCCCAGUGAAUACACUGCUUGAGAUUUAGACUAACAGGAAUUCCCACAAGAACAGGAAGUUCCCUGGCAUUUUCCACUGUUACGACCUGAAACAAGGCAUGAAGAACAUGCAGAGUGUGUAUUAUAGCCUCUCUUCAGAGAUGUGUCUCACUGUCUAAUACUUAUGGCAAAGAAGUCUCAUGUGAGGAGAGUUAUAUUAAACAACUCUCCAGACAAGCACUAGAGAAAGAUGCAAUUCAAGAUCCGUUUUCUUCUUGCAUAUGGGAAAAGGGCAGGACUUUUUCAUUGUCACAGAAAGCUCAAGGUGUACAGUGUAAUAUACUAGAACAACUUCAGGGCUGCUCUCAAGGCUAAGAACUAUUGUUUGGCCUCCACAUUAAACUGAAUCCCCACACUGGGGAAGAAAGAGUGGAAAAUAUCAUAUGGAAAAAUGCUGUGUAAGAGUGAGCAAGAGAUACUGUACCUGUCUGGAUUUAUAAAACAAGAAAACAAUCUGCAUAAUGGCAUUGACUUUCAUUCUAAGGGACAAUGAAAAAACAGAAGGAAGAUUUAGAACAAAACAAAGCAGGCUAUGGAAAAGCUGCAAGCAGUCUAUUACAGAGUAUUUAUGCAGUAGAAUAUUAUUUGUCAGCAUUUUAUGAAGAAAAAAAUUUCCAUUUUGAAAAUAACAGUAAUGAUUAAGCUUUAAGAGAAAAAAGUUUCAAAUUUAGUCAGUGAAAAAAAAAUCAGUGAUUCUUUAUUCUAGAUAAGAUGAAAAGAAUAUGAGCUCAGUAACACCACUGGAGAUCAAGUAUUGCAAAAUAGUGAAAUGCAAAAUAGCAGGUGACAUACACCUGCUGAAGAUUCAAUUUUGAAGUUAACCUGGGUGCAAUAAAAAGAUGAGAUGGAUAUACGUCA
rnacentral:lncRNA from 1 species